rnacentral:rRNA from 1 species
AGAAUCAACGCUGGCGGCGUGCCUAACACAUGCAAGUCGAACGAGAAAGGGGAGCAAUCCCUGAGUAAAGUGGCGCACGGGUGAGUAACACGUGACUAACCUACCCUGGAGUGGGGGAUAACUGAGGGAAACCUUAGCUAAUACCGCAUAACACCUACGGGUCAAAGGAGCAAUUCGCUUUGGGAGGGGGUCGCGGCCGAUUAGUUAGUUGGCGGGGUAAUGGCCCACCAAGACAGUGAUCGGUAUCCGGCCUGAGAGGGCGCGACGGACGACGACUGGAACUGAAACACGGUCCAGACUCCUACGGGAGGCAGCAGUGGGGAAUUUUGCGCAAUGGGGGAAACCCUGACGCAGCAACGCCGCGUGGAGGAUGAAGUACUUCGGUACGUAAACUCCUUUCGAUCGGGACGAUAAUGACGGUACCGGAAGAAGAAGCCCCGGCUAACUUCGUGCCAGCAGCCGC